GUGAACGCUGGCGGUAGGCCUAACACCUGCAAGUCGAACGGCAGCACAGUAAGAGCUUGCUCUUACGGGUGGCGAGUGGCGGACGGGUGAGGAAUACAUCGGAAUCUACUUUUUCGUGGGGGAUAACGUAGGGAAACUUACGCUAAUACCGCAUACGACCUACGGGUGAAAGCAGGGGAUCUUCGGACCUUGCGCGAUUGAAUGAGCCGAUGUCGGAUUAGCUAGUUGGCGGGGUAAAGGCCCACCAAGGCGACGAUCCGUAGCUGGUCUGAGAGGAUGAUCAGCCACACUGGAACUGAGACACGGUCCAGACUCCUACGGGAGGCAGCAGUGGGGAAUAUUGGACAAUGAGCGCAAGCCUGAUCCAGCCAUACCGCGUGGGUGAAGAAGGCCUUCGGGUUGUAAAGCCCUUUUGUUGGGAAAGAAAAGCAGCAGGUUAAUACCCCGCUGUUCUGACGGUACCCAAAGAAUAAGCACCGGCUAACUUCGUG
rnacentral:rRNA from 1 species